UACGAACGCUGGCGGCGUGCUUAACACAUGCAAGUCGAACGGAGUGGCGAACGGGUGAGUAACACGUGGGUGAUCUGCCUUGCACUUCGGGAUAAGCUUGGGAAACUGGGUCUAAUACCGGAUAGUGCAAGAUGAGCUCGCGGCGUAUCAGCUUGUUGGUGGGGUAAUAGCCUACCAAGGCGUCGACGGGUAGCCGUCCUGAGAGGGUGUACGGAAAAAUUGGGACUGAGGUACGGCCCAGAGUCCGACGGGAGGCAGCAGUGGGGGAUAUAGCACAAUGGGGGGAAGCCUGAUGCAGCGACGCCGGGUGGGGGAUGAAGGCCUUCGGGUUGUAAACUCGUUUCGACAGGGACGCGGUACCAGAAUAAGAAGCACCGGAUAACUACGUGCCAGCAGCCGGGGUAAUAC
rnacentral:rRNA from 1 species